rnacentral:rRNA from 1 species
GGUGACUUUAACGAGAUGCUAUAUUCUCAUGAAAAGGAGGGAGGGGCGCCAUGGCCGAUGAGUAUGAUGGAGAAAUUCAGAGAUGCUCUAGUAGAAUGUGAGUCAGAAGAUAUGGGGUUCUCAGGAGAUCAAUUCACUUGGCGAAGGAGGAGGCUACGGGAAUGUCUCAGGGCCGUGUGUAAUGGGCAAUUUCAUGGUCUCUUUCCGCAUGCUAAGGUGAUCAACGCAACGCACAAAAAUCUGAUCAUUGACCGAUCUUUGUGGACAAAGAGGGCGAUGUGCAGGGUGACCAGCAACGCGCAUAUGUGA